rnacentral:rRNA from 1 species
ACUACGGGAGGCAGCAGUGAGGAAUAUUGGUCAAUGGGCGCGAGCCUGAACCAGCCAAGUAGCGUGAAGGAUGACUGCCCUACGGGUUGUAAACUUCUUUUAUAAAGGAAUAAAGUGAGGCACGUGUGCCUUUUUGUAUGUACGUUAUGAAAAAGGAUCGGCUAACUCCGUGCCAGCAGCCGCGGGAAUACGGAGGAUCCGAGCGUUAUCCGGAUUUAUGUGGUUUAAAGGGAGCGUAGAUGGGUUGUUAAGUCAGUUGGUAAAGUUUGUGGCUUAACCGUAAAAUUGCAAUUGAUACUGGCAGUCUUGAGUACAGUUGAGGUAGGCGGAAUUCGUGGUGUAGCGGUGAAAUGCUUAGAUAUCACGAAGAACUCCGAUUGCGAAGGCAGCUUACUAAACUGCCACUGACAUUGAUGCUCGAAAGUGUGGGUAUCAAACAGGAUUAGAUACCCGUGUAGUC